UACGUAGGUGGCAAGCGUUGUCCGGAAUUAUUGGGCGUAAAGCGCGCGCAGGCGGUCCUUUAAGUCUGAUGUGAAGCCCACGGCUCAACCGUGGAGGGUCAUUGGAAACUGGGGGACUUGAGUGCAGGAGAGAAGAGUGGAAUUCCACGUGUAGCGGUGAAAUGCGUGAGAUGUGGAGAACACCAGUGGCGAAGGCGACUCUUGGCCUGUAACUGACGCUGAGGCGCGAAAGCGUGGGGAGAAACAGG
rnacentral:rRNA from 1 species